GCGGGGCGGGGCGGGGCGGCGCGCGGCCGGCCCGUCCCCCGCGCGGAAGAUGGCGGCCGGGCGGCGCGGCGGCGGCUCCCCCAGCGGCCGGAGCGGCACCCAGCGGCCGGGAGCCGGCGGGCCGCGGCCGGCCUGAGCCGUCCGCGCCGCGCCGGGGGACGCCCGCCGGCAGCCGAGCCCUGCCCGCCCGGCGCGGCCGCUGCGGCAGCUGGAGGGAGCGGCGGUGAGCCGGGCGUUGCUGGCUGCUGAACAAAGGUGCUGCUGGAAAGGUUCCUGGUGUUUUUACUGAAUCUGUAUCUGGUACAACACAGCUGUUUUUCAGACUGUAUUUACGCUUUUUGAGAACGUUGUUCCUAAGAGAGAAGCAGCGGAUGAGUAUUUUUCCUUCUCCGGAUUGUGAUCAGAGGAUGCAAAGAGAAGGUGCCAUCAUGUGAAUGGGAAGCAGCUAGCUGAGAAACAGGACACCUGGGAAGGCUGAGCUGAACGCGCCUGUGCACAGGAUGACAGACUGAUUUGCUCUUGGAGGCAAGAGGUUCAGAAACCCCCUCCUCCAAAAGACUUUGCUGAGCGAGAGGAGGGGAACAGGAGGCAGCACACAGAAGAGCAAUGGGAAUUGAGGGCCAUGGUUACUUGAGAUAAAUGGCAGAUCCCUGGGAGUCUAGCCUUGUAGCUGUUCGCUUUAGCUUUGUCUCUCUCCGCAGCUGCUGCUGCUUUUCUGCAAGCUGCUGCUGGGUGCUGCCGCGGUGGCGCUGGAGGUUUCGAGGGCGGCGUGGGAGCAGAGCGUGAGGAGGGGGUGGGCAGCCCGCCUCACCAUGAUUCAGCUGUGGAAAGUGGUGCGGCACGUGCGACAGCUGGAGCUCCACAGACUGAUCCUGCUGCUCAUCGCCUUCAGCCUGAUCUCCAUGUGCAUCCUGGCUUACUACGUCACUAACAGCCCCAAAAUCAAGGAGCCGCCACCCCUGCCCUUCAGUGACUGCAGCAACCAGCACCGCAUCUUGAUCCCACCACAAGCCAGCUGGAGGCUUACAAAGUCUGUGGACACCUCGCGCACGGACCCGGUGGUGCUAGUCUUUGUGGAAAGCAUUUACUCCCAGCUGGGGCAGGAAAUCGUGGCCAUCCUGGAAUCUAGCCGGUUUAAAUACAGGACAGAGAUCGCCCCUGGCAAGGGGGAUAUGCCUACCCUGACGGACAAAGACAGGGGACGCUACGCUCUUAUUAUCUAUGAGAAUAUCCUUAAAUAUGUGAACCUAGACGCCUGGAACCGAGAGCUGCUGGACAAAUACUGCGUAGAGUACGGAGUGGGGAUUAUAGGCUUUUUCAAAGCCAACGAGAACAGCCUACUCAGCGCGCAGCUCAAGGGUUUCCCCCUUUUCCUCCAUUCCAACUUAGGGCUGCGGGACUAUCACAUCAACCCCAGUGCUCCCCUGCUCUAUGUCACCCGGGCUAACGAGGUGGAGCAGGGUCCCCUGCCCGGGGACGACUGGACCGUGUUCCAGUCAAACCACAGCACAUAUGAGCCGGUGCUGUUGGCCAGCACAAAGUCCUCGGAGUCCAUUCCUCACCUGGCUACGCACAAAGCGUUGCAUGCCACGGUGGUGCAGGACCUGGGUCUGCACGAUGGGAUCCAGCGGGUUCUUUUCGGCAAUAACCUCAACUUUUGGCUGCACAAACUCAUUUUCGUGGAUGCCAUUGCCUACCUGACUGGCAAGCGCCUCUGUCUCACACUUGAUCGCUAUAUCCUCGUCGACAUCGAUGAUAUAUUUGUGGGCAAAGAGGGCACUCGCAUGAAGGUGUCUGAUGUAGAGGCUUUACUGAGCACCCAGAAUAAGCUGAGAACUUUAGUCCCAAAUUUCACCUUCAACCUGGGCUUCUCAGGGAAAUUCUACCACACAGGUACAGAUGAGGAAGAUGAAGGGGAUGACAUGCUGCUCAAACACAGGAAGGAGUUCUGGUGGUUCCCUCACAUGUGGAGUCACAUGCAACCUCAUCUUUUCCACAAUGUCACUGUGCUGGCUGAGCAGAUGAAGCUCAACAAGCAGUUUGCUGUGGAGCAUGGGAUUCCCACAGACUUGGGCUAUGCUGUAGCCCCCCAUCAUUCUGGGGUGUAUCCUGUCCACACACAACUCUAUGAGGCUUGGAAAUCCGUGUGGAGCAUCCAGGUAACAAGCACGGAGGAAUACCCACACCUGCGGCCUGCUCGGUACCGCCGUGGAUUCAUCCAUAACGGAAUCAUGGUUUUGCCUCGACAGACCUGUGGUCUUUUUACUCACACUAUCUUCUACAAUGAAUAUCCCGGUGGCUCAAAGGAGCUGGACAAAAGCAUUCGUGGUGGUGAACUCUUCCUGACAGUGCUCCUGAACCCAAUCAGCAUCUUCAUGACCCACCUGUCUAAUUAUGGAAAUGACCGUCUGGGACUGUACACUUUUGAGAGCCUGGUCAAGUUUGUGCAGUGCUGGACCAACCUUCGCCUGCAAACGCUGCCCCCUGUCCAGCUCGCAAAAAAGUACUUCGAAAUCUUUCCCCAGGAGAAGAAUCCCUUGUGGCAGAAUCCAUGUGACGAUAAGAGGCACAAGGAUAUCUGGUCCAAAGAGAAAACAUGUGAUCGGCUCCCCAAGUUCCUCAUCGUGGGACCUCAGAAAACUGGUACAACAGCUGUGCACUUCUUCUUGACCAUGCAUCCAGCUGUCACCAGUAACUUUCCGAGUCCAUCCACCUUUGAGGAGAUCCAGUUUUUUAAUGGACCCAACUAUCAUAAAGGAAUUGAUUGGUACAUGGAAUUCUUCCCCAUCCCCUCCAAUGCCAGCACAGACUUCAUGUUUGAGAAGAGUGCCAAUUACUUUGACACAGAGGUGGUACCGAAACGUGGUGCAGCCCUGCUUCCUCGAGCCAAAAUCAUUACUGUCCUGAUCAACCCUGCUGACCGAGCCUACUCAUGGUACCAGCACCAACGUGCUCACGAUGACCCUGUGGCGCUGAAUUACACCUUCUACCAGGUGAUCUCUGCAAGAUCCCAGGCCCCUCAGGAACUGCGCAACCUGCAAAGUCGAUGCCUGCUCCCUGGCUGGUAUUCAACUCAUCUGGAGCGUUGGCUAACAUACUUCCCCUCUGGGCAGGUUCUCAUAGUGGAUGGUCAGGAGCUGAGACACAACCCUGUCUCUGUAAUGGACAGCAUCCAGAAGUUCUUGGGUGUUACACCACUCUUCAACUACACCCAGGCCCUCAGAUUUGAUGAAGCAAAAGGAUUUUGGUGCCAGCUGCUAGAUGGAGGAAAGACUAAAUGCCUAGGAAAGAGUAAAGGAAGAAAAUACCCUGAUAUGGAUGUCUCGUCACGGCUGUUCCUAAGAGACUUUUAUCGGGAGCACAACAUUGAAUUAUCCAAGCUGAUGAACAGACUUGGACAACCGCUUCCGACCUGGCUCCGAGAGGAACUUCAGAAUUCCAGCUGGAGCUGAGAGGGACGCCCUUGCCCCCAGUGCCACUGGGAUGUGUGGUGCUCUAAUGUGUGCUACGAUGCCAUCUCUUGUCAAGCCAAAACAACUGGACAAAUGAGCAGGAGCAGAGAACAGACAUAUAUGUGGAGCUCUUCCCCACCUUUGGGAAGGGCUGCUGCCUCUGACACUGCCCUGAGGCGGGGAGUGCAAAUCACAUGCUUGAGUAUUAAUGGUGUGUUACACUUCAACUCUUACUUACAGGGAGGAUUUAAAAUGCCUGCCCCGCGUUGAGCAGGAGGAGAGAGCACAUUAACGCUUUAUGUUUAAAGUGCUCAGUGUAUGAAGCAGGCACUAGCUGAAGAAUUAAUGUCUUACUCCUCUGAGUCCACUAGAAAAGAAAUAAGAGGUGAGCCCACUGCCGAGAAAAGCACAGCAGCUUAACGAAAGGGGAAUCUAGUCCAGUGAACCCCAGCUUUACCUAGUAGUCUAACUUGGCAGCAACAGAUGGAAGAAGGCCUCCCCCUGCAGAGUGCAGCGGCGGUGAUCACUGCUUACAGUGCUAUGGCGUGUGGCUCCUGGGGACUGCGCCAGCCCUCCACCCUGCUUGCAGACAGACGUUACAGAUUACCUCUCCUGGUCUGCAGCAUUGCUGGUGUGAUAUGGUGUCCAGUGAGCUUGCUCCAGGGUCAGACAGCGACAAGGAAGAGCCACAGAUAGAUAUCAACACAAAAAAAACCAUGUUUGUUAACUUAGGGAAAGGUUGCCAUAUGUGGCAACAUGGCUGGGUAACAUGUAUUUCUCUGCAGGGAUUUUAACCAUUUCAAAAGCGAGAGAUCCAAGCAGUAACACUGACACCUCAGAAUACUUCCAGGAUGUGUUAGCGCAGCACAGCAGCUGGGGGAGGCCAAAUCUCAGGUACUUGUAAAAUAAGGCUGAUGCAGGUGAAGCCAGACAGGUUGGUUCCCUGUAUCUAAUCAGCUUCAAAAAAAUUGCAACAUUUUUCUCUUUCCAGCAGCUCCAGGGCCCCUACCAGGUAUGCUGAUAACUAGCAUCUGUUUAAUCCCCCUGCAGUCCAACAAUCCAAGGAGAAAGGCAAAACCCAGGUAAAAGUAAGUAUCACUCAGAUGUAAAGGGAAGGCUUAGAGUUAGAAGUGGUUUCCUGUAUCCAAAAAAUGGGCAGUUUACUACUUCUGCAGCAGAUAGUCAAGUAACUACACUAAGGUGCUUUGCCUCCUCUGCAAUUGCUGGAUAAUUAUUCUCAGAGUAAUUCCUCCAGCACAUGGUUGUACAUGUCUUCUCCUGCUGAGCGAUGGCUUCUGAAGUCCUUUGGGCCAUCUUCCUUCCCCAGGCACAGAUGGUUCUUAAAGAUUGCUGCAGUUCCAGAGAGGGGCAGGAUCCAUAUAAACACAGAUUAUGGCAACUUCCACAACUUUCAUAGGCUCCUCUUCUCCUAUCAGAGGAGAGAGGUUGCUUUAACCAAGCUUUUCCAUUGAGCCUUAGGUAUUGUGUAUUUCUGAAUGGUGCAUUUACCAUUGUAUGUAAAUGUAUAUAGUAUGCAAUAUAGUAUUUUAUUUCAUGUGCCCUUGGAAAGGGUAAUUUUGUGCAGCCAAAAAAAAGAAGGACAGAAAGAAUAGAAACCUCUCUCUCACUCCUGUUACAGAGAAGAGCCCAACGUCCUGCACUGGAUUCAUGUAUAGCAUCAUUCACAUUGAAUGAUAAUGAAGAAAUUCUUGGCUCUCGCCGCUGAGCACAAGUGUCUGAAUAAAGGCUAGAAGUAGUAAAAGCCGUCAGACCGUAUAUACCAACCUCAGCAAAGAAAGCUCAGCACGUGAAACUGAAAAUUCUGCGCCCUCGAGACCUCCGGAAUGCAAUCAAUCACGAAGAUGCUUAUAAGUAGGCGGCCACCUCUUCCUACUAGGUGCAGGAAAUACAGGGCUAUGCUGGCAACUGGUAUAAUUCUCAACUAUAGAGUGAAAGACAUUUUAAGGGAACGGGGAGAAUUUCCUUGUAAGCUGCAGCAAGGAUCAACUCUACAGGAAACCUGAUACCUGAAAAACUGAACUUUUCAAUUGAUGACAGCACUGCAAAGACACAUUCCUGGCUGAAACUGGAAGUCAGAAAGAAAAAAAAAUCUUAACGUUAAUCUGACAAAGAAAGAACCUAAUCUAAUAAACUGGUCCUGUUGUUUACUAUAUGUCACAGUCA